UUUUAGUUCUAAAACUAAAUAACAAAGGGAGCCUUUAAUGAUUAAACAGUAAACAGUUAAUGAGUAAAACAGCAACAUGUCGGCUAAAGUGAUUGAAUUCAGAAAUGCAUUUGACUGAACAUUUUUUUUUGUAAUAGCCUUUAAUACAGCACAGCAAAGUUUAGAAACAGACGGAUUGGUGAAAUUGCUUUCCCCGACAUUUUGCGGUUACGUGAGGCUUGGUGACCUCAGAAUCAGUAGGAUAUUUAACAAUCACUCAAAUAGGCAGAUGCAGGAACAGCAUGAGGCUGAGUGAAUCACUCAUUCCGGUUCUUCCUUCAAAAUAAGUUAUAUUACAAUGCAGGUUAUAGACAUUCUUUCUGAUUGCAUGCUAAAGACAGUCUCUCCUCUUGCUACAGCUAAUUUUGUACGAAUUAAGUGGAUUAUAAUACAUUUAUAUAUUUGCAGGAGUUGAUGCAUUUUUCAUUAGGGCAAAUCUGGUCUGUGAUAUUGAGUUAGAACUGUAAAACUUUAGAGUACUUAAACAUCGAAUACAUUGUAAGUCUGCACUUUAGGCUACACUUUACAAUAGGACUCAACUGACUGACCCCGCAGCAUCUAUCAGUAGUAUAAACUGUGACACAAAUUGGGGGGAUUUUUCACCCCUAGUCGAGCUAUUAGACUAUCCUUUGGUAAAUUAAUGGAGGUGUGAAUGUUUCAGCCAGUCUCUCUCCUAUCUAAAGUCCUGCAUCAGGCCACAACAACAAAAAAAUCUGGCGGUCGGUCCCGGAGUUGAGAGAGAAGUUGGGCAAAUACAACGGCACAAUUACACUUGACAUGUGGACUGACGAUUUUCAAAAAAUAGGAUACUUGUACCUUACAACCCGUUACAUACUGAAGAGUGGAUGUUAUCCACUACGGAGUGGGACAGGGCAGCUCAAACUGCAGAGAACAGAAGACCAGCUAUUGUGAAAGAAUACUUGUGGAUCGUGUGGAUUUCAUCUAUUGCAUGAAGAGACCUAAUGUCCACCUGGUCAUUGUGUGGUUCCAAAGGAUAAAGCCUCACAUUCAGAUGGAUGUGUGGUUUCAGAGAGAAGCCAGCCUGCGACCAGGCACGGUGGUUAAAGCCUCCCCUUCAGAUGGAGGUGUGGUUUCAGAGAGAAGCCAGCCUGCGACCAG
ensembl:lncRNA